rnacentral:rRNA from 1 species
GGGUUGUGAGGUUAAGCGACUAAGCGUACACGGUGGAUGCCCUGGCAGUCAGAGGCGAUGAAGGACGUGCUAAUCUGCGAUAAGCGUCGGUAAGGUGAUAUGAACCGUUAUAACCGGCGAUUUCCGAAUGGGGAAACCCAGUGUGAUUCGUCACACUAUCAUUAACUGAAUCCAUAGGUUAAUGAGGCGAACCGGGGGAACUGAAACAUCUAAGUACCCCGAGGAAAAGAAAUCAACCGAGAUUCCCCCAGUAGCGGCGAGCGAACGGGGAGCAGCCCAGAGCCUGAAUCAGUGUGUGUGUUAGUGGAAGCGUCUGGAAAGGCGCGCGAUACAGGGUGACAGCCCCGUACACAAAAAUGCACAUGCUGUGAGCUCGAUGAGUAGGGCGGGACACGUGGUAUCCUGUCUGAAUAUGGGGGGACCAUCCUCCAAGGCUAAAUACUCCUGACUGACCGAUAGUGAACCAGUACCGUGAGGGAAAGGCGAAAAGAACCCCGGCGAGGGGAGUGAAAAAGAACCUGAAACCGUGUACGUACAAGCAGUGGGAGCACGCUUCGGCGUGUGACUGCGUACCUUUUGUAUAAUGGGUCAGCGACUUAUAUUCUGUAGCAAGGUUAACCGAAUAGGGGAGCCGAAGGGAAACCGAGUCUUAACUGGGCGUUAAGUUGCAGGGUAUAGACCCGAAACCCGGUGAUCUAGCCAUGGGCAGGUUGAAGGUUGGGUAACACUAACUGGAGGACCGAACCGACUAAUGUUGAAAAAUUAGCGGAUGACUUGUGGCUGGGGGUGAAAGGCCAAUCAAACCGGGAGAUAGCUGGUUCUCCCCGAAAGCUAUUUAGGUAGCGCCUCGUGAAUUCAUCUCCGGGGGUAGAGCACUGUUUCGGCAAGGGGGUCAUCCCGACUUACCAACCCGAUGCAAACUGCGAAUACCGGAGAAUGUUAUCACGGGAGACACACGGCGGGUGCUAACGUCCGUCGUGAAGAGGGAAACAACCCAGACCGCCAGCUAAGGUCCCAAAGUCAUGGUUAAGUGGGAAACGAUGUGGGAAGGCCCAGACAGCCAGGAUGUUGGCUUAGAAGCAGCCAUCAUUUAAAGAAAGCGUAAUAGCUCACUGGUCGAGUCGGCCUGCGCGGAAGAUGUAACGGGGCUAAACCAUGCACCGAAGCUGCGGCAGCGACGCUGAUGCGUUGUUGGGUAGGGGAGCGUUCUGUAAGCCUGCGAAGGUGUGCUGUGAGGCAUGCUGGAGGUAUCAGAAGUGCGAAUGCUGACAUAAGUAACGAUAAAGCGGGUGAAAAGCCCGCUCGCCGGAAGACCAAGGGUUCCUGUCCAACGUUAAUCGGGGCAGGGUGAGUCGACCCCUAAGGCGAGGCCGAAAGGCGUAGUCGAUGGGAAACAGGUUAAUAUUCCUGUACUUGGUGUUACUGCGAAGGGGGGACGGAGAAGGCUAUGUUGGCCGGGCGACGGUUGUCCCGGUUUAAGCGUGUAGGCUGGUUUUCCAGGCAAAUCCGGAAAAUCAAGGCUGAGGCGUGAUGACGAGGCACUACGGUGCUGAAGCAACAAAUGCCCUGCUUCCAGGAAAAGCCUCUAAGCAUCAGGUAACAUCAAAUCGUACCCCAAACCGACACAGGUGGUCAGGUAGAGAAUACCAAGGCGCUUGAGAGAACUCGGGUGAAGGAACUAGGCAAAAUGGUGCCGUAACUUCGGGAGAAGGCACGCUGAUAUGUAGGUGAGGUCCCUCGCGGAUGGAGCUGAAAUCAGUCGAAGAUACCAGCUGGCUGCAACUGUUUAUUAAAAACACAGCACUGUGCAAACACGAAAGUGGACGUAUACGGUGUGACGCCUGCCCGGUGCCGGAAGGUUAAUUGAUGGGGUUAGCGCAAGCGAAGCUCUUGAUCGAAGCCCCGGUAAACGGCGGCCGUAACUAUAACGGUCCUAAGGUAGCGAAAUUCCUUGUCGGGUAAGUUCCGACCUGCACGAAUGGCGUAAUGAUGGCCAGGCUGUCUCCACCCGAGACUCAGUGAAAUUGAACUCGCUGUGAAGAUGCAGUGUACCCGCGGCAAGACGGAAAGACCCCGUGAACCUUUACUAUAGCUUGACACUGAACAUUGAGCCUUGAUGUGUAGGAUAGGUGGGAGGCUUUGAAGUGUGGACGCCAGUCUGCAUGGAGCCGACCUUGAAAUACCACCCUUUAAUGUUUGAUGUUCUAACGUUGACCCGUAAUCCGGGUUGCGGACAGUGUCUGGUGGGUAGUUUGACUGGGGCGGUCUCCUCCUAAAGAGUAACGGAGGAGCACGAAGGUUGGCUAAUCCUGGUCGGACAUCAGGAGGUUAGUGCAAUGGCAUAAGCCAGCUUGACUGCGAGCGUGACGGCGCGAGCAGGUGCGAAAGCAGGUCAUAGUGAUCCGGUGGUUCUGAAUGGAAGGGCCAUCGCUCAACGGAUAAAAGGUACUCCGGGGAUAACAGGCUGAUACCGCCCAAGAGUUCAUAUCGACGGCGGUGUUUGGCACCUCGAUGUCGGCUCAUCACAUCCUGGGGCUGAAGUAGGUCCCAAGGGUAUGGCUGUUCGCCAUUUAAAGUGGUACGCGAGCUGGGUUUAGAACGUCGUGAGACAGUUCGGUCCCUAUCUGCCGUGGGCGCUGGAGAACUGAGGGGGGCUGCUCCUAGUACGAGAGGACCGGAGUGGACGCAUCACUGGUGUUCGGGUUGUCAUGCCAAUGGCACUGCCCGGUAGCUAAAUGCGGAAGAGAUAAGUGCUGAAAGCAUCUAAGCACGAAACUUGCCCCGAGAUGAGUUCUCCCUGA